rnacentral:tRNA from 1 species
GGGGAUAUCGCCAAGUCGGUAAGGCAACGGAUUUUGAUUCCGUCAUGCGUAGGUUCGAGUCCUGCUAUCCCUGCCA